UGAAAACAAACAGCAAAUCAAGCAAACCGUCUGAAAAAAAAGGAGGAAAUAGAAGUGUUUAAAAUUAGUUGUUAUCGGACUCGUUGUUGGAUAUACGGCGAAUAAAUUAAAAGAUCUCCCGUGUCUCGGCGAAUGAAGGAUUGAGCACACAUCUACAUUUCCCCACAUUGCAUGCGAGGUCGAAUUGCUCAAGACCGGCAUGUAUUUCGUUAUUUUUCAUGAGAUUGUCAUCUUCGACUACGAGUCCUUCAGAACUGACAUCGGUAUUUUUUCA